CUCGUGUUUUGUGACUUGUGAACAUCUCUGAAACACACACCUGACCUCAACCCCAUACGAACACUCGCUUACCCGCUAAGAAACAAACGAAAAAAAGAGUAAAGUGAACAACACACUCACCUUCUGGCUGAAGGGCCAUUUCAGCAGGGCGUCAUAUUUUCCCCUCAUCACCACAAAGAAGAGGGAGAGGUGGCUGCCUUUGCCAGAACCGUCACCAUUCAGACAUGGUGCCCACUCACACCAAUGAGCCAGAAAAGCCAAUUCACCUUCUGUAUGUGUUGAAGAGUUGACUGAAACCCAGAGUACAGAAGGAUCCCACAUGGACAUGAGGAGAACAUCCGAACCUCUUUACAGACGGUGAUCGGAAGCAAGGAUUAAACCCAGGAACCAUGUUUUGUUGUUUGUUCCCAUUAAAGCCAAUGUCUUAGCCGAACAGAAUGUCAAAAAAGCACAUCAGCACAUCAGCUGAGUAUUUAAGACCUUCUUAAACGCAACGUGAAUGAUAAAUGGUCAAUAAAACAAAGCAUUUACAGUCAAGCUGGUAAAGAGCAUCACAUACAGGACAGAAUAGAAUAAUAGAAUACUAAAACUUUACAGAUAAAGCAAACAAUAGGUGAUACAACAAAAAAAUGGAAACACCUGCUAUGGAUGAAAAGGAAGAGUGAAUAUAUGCAUGGCAGAGACAGACAUGGCUCUUCUGCCCAUCAUGCAUGCAUCUAAAAACGUUAUGCUGCAUUGCUGAAGUAGAAUUCGGACGGGAAAUGAAUUUUUACCAAAGAACAUCUCUCACGAUUAUUACUAAUGAUUAAUGAAUUGUCCUCGCACGCGUAAUACGCGUAAAACAUCUUAAACACAUUAUAAAUUCUCUAACUUAAUUAUAACUGCUUGUUUUUAGGGUCUUUGUCUAAACAGCUAUGAUUAGUAAGCUACAUGUCUAUUUUAUUUACUGCAUUCAUAAAUAAAGUUGACUGUAUAGCCAAAAGUAUAAAGACUGCCCCAUUCCAAAAUAUAUUUACUAAUACAACAGUAAGAAAUGAUGCCCGUUUAGAA